ACCAGCGGAGGGAUCAUUACCGAGUUUACAACUCCCAAACCCCUGUGAACAUACCUUAUGUUGCCUCGGCGGAUCAGCCCGCGCCCCGUAAAAAGGGACGGCCCGCCGCAGGAACCCUAAACUCUGUUUUUAGUGGAACUUCUGAGUAUAAAAAACAAAUAAAUCAAAACUUUCAACAACGGAUCUCUUGGUUCUGGCAUCGAUGAAGAACGCAGCAAAAUGCGAUAAGUAAUGUGAAUUGCAGAAUUCAGUGAAUCAUCGAAUCUUUGAACGCACAUUGCGCCCGCCAGUAUUCUGGCGGGCAUGCCUGUUCGAGCGUCAUUUCAACCCUCAAGCCCAGCUUGGUGUUGGGAGCUGCAGUCCUGCUGCACUCCCCAAAUACAUUGGCGGUCACGUCGAGCUUCCAUAGCGUAGUAAUUUACACAUCGUUACUGGUAAUCGUCGCGGCCACGCCGUUAAACCCCAACUUCUGAAUGUUGACCUCGGAUCAGGUAGGAAUACCCGCUGAACUUAAGCAUAU
rnacentral:rRNA from 1 species